GUCACUCCAUUACUUUUUGUGUGGACAGAGGCUCAGUGAGGCUCAAGGGGUGAGGUGUCUCAUAAGAAUUAGAACAUCCUAGAGAUGCUUCCCCAGCUUCUUUCGGCACACCGUGCCCCCAUGUUUUUGCUUCCAAAGUGAUCUAACAUUAUUUACAAGUGUGUUGUUCUACAGGUCCCAUAACUUUUGGACUUGGAUCCUAGUAUGUGAACAGCCAAUAAUAUGGCCUAGAAACUGAAGUAGGGUCCAUAAGCUCCUGGGAACCUGCACAGGGAUGUAUGGGCACUGGGGAAUUUUACCCUUCAUGUUGUGAGCUGUUGAUAAUGGAUAAGAUCAGACAACUGUUGCUGGGAGGAGGGGAGAGGAAAGAUCAGCCUGGACCUGGAAUUCUGAGGACUUCUAUGCUUCUGUUACAUUUUUCAAGCUCUUCUACUUAACUAAUGCAGUAUUAGCAUAUUUAGAACUGAUGCUGAGUAAAACAGAAAUAUGGUAGAAGUCCACUAAAACCUUGCAAUUUUCGUUUCCUGAUUUGAGUCUAGUUUUGUUGCAGGAAGGAUCGCAUCACCCCAAGCUGCAGCAAUGAGUGCAAACAUGAGAUUUGUCUGCCUGGCCAAAUGUCCUCCCAUCCAUGCAUGGCUCUGGCUGCCCUGUGUGCUGAAGAGCACAGCCACCUGUGGCUUGUUUGGACAUCAAAAAUGCCAAGUGCCUGCCACAGAUGUUGCCAUCUGUCACUGCAGCUUGGAUUGAGGCAGCUUGGGCUGUAAGAGGCUGCCUCAGACCAGUCAAGAAUGCUGCUGGAAUUUUAGGACAUUUUACAUCAGUGCAUCUAUCACUGAGGCAGGAGGAGUGCUGAGGGUGCCUGGAAUACUCGUGUUGCUGUGGGGACGAGGACACAGAAGGAGCCACCUCAUUCCCACAAGGAAGCUAAUGUGUACAAUCACAGAUUAUUGGAGACCAUUUGCUGUAUUCUCAUAUGUAAUGUUUAACAGGAGGACUCAAGGGCAGCACGUUAGAUAAAGAGACCUGCAAGCUGUCAAUAACUUGUGAAAAUGAUUCCUCAUUUCUGAGAUACCUGCCAGGAUGCCUUCCUGAGGAUGAUGUGUCACCACUUGAAGACUGAUCUCACGAAGGGUAAAUCAAUUCUGAAGUGAGUCCUAGCGCUCCUUUUAACAAUUAGCAUUCCUGUUUCCCAUGGCUCUUCCUUUUCAAUAAGGUCUAAACACAUCAUUCCUGCAUAUUCCCUGCAGUAUUUUAAUAUCUCAAGACAGACAAAGGGAUCUCCAGAACUUUCUGAAUUGAUUCAGAACGAGGUAACAAUACACAUUUUAUCCCCAAAACAGCACACUAAAUGUAGGAUUUCCCAUUUCUGAGUGACCCUGGAGCAGGACUCGGUGCCUUGUUGCAUCCAUUUAACACCAGAUACCUGGAUGGACUCCAGGGCCACACGGUGGGGUUAUUUACCAUGUGUUGUACAGGUGCUGAGUCUAAACUAUCUGAUGAUCUUAAGCCCAGAAAAUCUCUUCCUCCACAUAAUCCUCGUGACCUUUCCCUCUGUCACUCAUUUAUCUGACUGGGACGAGGCUGGCAUGUGGCUGAUUUUAUGGAUGGCUCGCUGCAUGUCCUGGGAUCAGCCUUAAUGUGCUGUAAUUCUUUAUGCAGUCAUUAAAGCACGAUUAGAGACCUCAGUCUUGGGCUUUAUACGGUCAUUGGAGGAGUUUUACAGAGGUUAUUACCGUGUUGCUCUGUCUCAAACUACUCAGCAAGAGCGAGGCAGCAAUUACAAGAAAGGGCUACUUAGCAUCCAGCCUGUACACAGGGAGGUGGGGAGAGAGGUUUCACAGACAUAAUUCACCCAUCCACCAGAGCACAAUAAAACACCUUCUUUAUUUCUGAUUUUAUUGGUUCUGUCUGCUCUCAUCUGGUGCCUGAGCAUUUUAUCUGUUCAGGCUGCUUUUUUUCCAAUGCAGUAAAAAGAGCAGACAGGAUUUUGCCCUUUAUUUAAAAUGUUUUGCCACAUUUAGAGGUAAAUCACAGCCACUUUCCUGCGUUGUAUAUUUUCAGACUUAGUGGAGAGAGAAAUGUUUUGACAGCAAGCGCGCUCUACAGGGUCCAACCAUGGUCAGAGAGGAAAAGUCUCUUCCUACCACCCGACUUCUCUUUGCUCUGAUAGAAACCUGCCCCUCUCUCCACAUCUCUGGGGAUCAAGCACCCACAUUCCUUCAUGCAUAGUGAAGGAAAAAAAGGAGAGGAAAGAUCUGGCUCCCAGUCCCUCCACAAACAGAGUUUGCUCACUGAAUUCCUCAUGUAAAUGACUCAGAGAUCUUUACUUUCAAGCAGAUCUGUCUUUUCAGAAACAAGCUGACACUCUGGGCACCAAAACAGAUCACAGGAACUACAACAGAAAGCAGUGUUCUGCCAAAGCUGCAGGCAGGAGUCUGUCAGGGAGAAUGAUGGAGCCACAAGAGUGCUGUUCUAACAGGCAAAGGGGGAAGGAGGAAAGAGUGAAAAGUGUAAGAAACUGGAAGAGACUUGAAGGGACACGAUGCUGUUUAAUGGGGCAGAAACUGAGAGACAAGUGAGCUACAGUGUGGGGUGAUUUGCAUU